UGAUUCAGAGAUAGGGGAGAGAUAUGGUAUAAUCAAUGUUAUGAGAUGCAGUAAGAGUUGCACAGUCUAUGGUUUAGAUGCUUUUCCAUUAGGUAGCACUAGCAGAUAGAUACUAGAUAAUGUUUUGAUGGGGUGAUAACGUAUAGAAGACAUUAGAUGAGGACGUAUAGACCUAGGCUCAGCUGUAUAGACUAUAGCAGGGAUGGUCUACUUUGUUGGGAGUGGGGGCCACAGAAGUCCGGAACUCAUCAUGAGGGUCCGCAGUGGCUCGUUGGUUUGCAAACCCCCCCCCUUUUAUGAUGUACGUUUUAAAGUUAAUUCGAUGAAAUUCCCCGCAUUUUGCCAUGUGAUGUGAUAACUGAUGAUGAAUGGGCCCCACGCUGGUCAGUAAUUUGGCCAUGCCUACUAGAAGUUUAGAUAGCUGGCCGCUAGACCAAUUUACCAAUCAAAAAAACAAAAUAGCUGACAUGAGCUAAUUGAGUGACUGCUGAUGCACAAGUACAUUUCGGAAUUGCACCUUGUGUAUUCUCUCUCUCAACAGUAAAUUGAGACCUUGGCUGAGUUCCAAAAAACCAUUGGGUCCGCGUCCAGGCCGCCAGUGCCCAUCCGGGAACUAGAGUCUUCACCGAAGAAGGUGGAGCUUCAGACAGAAUCCAAAGUCAGUCCCAAGAGGAGCCCCGAGUCAGCCAUCAACCUUCUAGGCCUGGUUGUUUUCAGGAGACAGGUCAGUGUGUAUUGAGAGAACACGUUUAAUCAGGUGGAGUCAGGCUUCUACUUCAUCGCCCUGGACCACUACACCAACGAGGCCGAGGAUGGACCAAUUAUGCUGAUGCCCCACUGUAAGAACUUGUAGAUAUUCACUGGUUCUGAGGGAGGUGACGUGGCCACAAACAGUCCCCGGGACACCUUCCAGUGCUACCGCUGUCUGGACAACAGCCAGAGGGUGGUCAAGACAUCUGCUGAGACUUCGUCUUUCGUGUGUCAGCUCUGCUGCACCUGGGAGCUAAAGGUAAAAAGCUGAGGGAUGGGGCUGGAGACACUCCAAUUCAUAGACAGUGCUAUAGAUGCAACGACUGACCAUCGCACCUCCUUCUAAAAUGAUGCACCUGCAGGCAGAGCUGAAACCAGUUCGGCUGCUGCACCUAUCAGCGACGAGGACAUCUUCAGUUCAAUGGUGUCCAACCCUCUGCCAUCUUCCGACAACACUCAGUGUUGUCUGCCUAUGCCCUCUCCCCUAUGGACACAAUUGCUGUGUUCAGUGAAGACAGACUGCAGCACUGGGCUUUGUUUUCCUCUGCAAUGACACAGCAGAUGUCGGGCAUCGCCAUGAGUGGUAGUGUGUCAGCGCCACCCAGCUUUGUCCAACCAGGUGCUCCUGUAGGGGGGUGGACCCCCCUUGGGCCAGACCCUCAGCACCCAGCUGUGGAAGUGAGGGAGGGGACAGGGGUAAAAUGUGAACGGGAACCAGAGCCCCCAUGUCCCCCCCAAAUCCCCUCCUUUACCCUCUUCCACCAACCCCAAAACAGAAAACAACACACAGAUGGUAAUCUAUGGACUGCUCCACUGUCCUCCCUCCUUCCCUUUGAUCAUUCCUUUAGAGACCCCCCCCCACCACCUCUCUCUACCUCUCUCUGUGUGUUGAGGAGAGUCAAAGGGAAAGGGGGCGGAGUCUCCAGUGAAAACAGACUAGCAGCUGCUAGUCUAUCUCUACAUGUGACUUUUAAUUUCUUCUUUUUACCUUUUUUUAUCUUUAUCUUUUUCAUUUGGUAAAAAAACUAAAACAUAUUGGCGAAAGAGAAUCAAGCGUCUAACAAUAAUAAGGUAUCAUUACCAAAACCGAUAGUAAAUAGAUGUUGUAGAUGUAAAUAAACCAGAGAGUAAAUAGAUGUUGAAAUGGAAGAUAUGGCUAUCAUGUUGGCGACCCAAUCAAUCUCAUCUGUGUAUAUUGUACUGUACCGUCCCCCUUCCUCCCCUCUGGGCAAUCAGAGCCCCUGUAGCAAAACAUUGUAUGAUCCAGUACUGUAUUACUGUAUGUGUGUCUGAGAUAGAGGCCUCCCACCUAUCCCUCCCCGUCAUGUUGUGUUAUACUGUCCCCUAUCUUACUGUGGUGUUUGGUUGUGUGCAGUACGGGAAGACGCACAGUUAUGUAUGAUUCACACUAUAGAGCCAAGCCUGGUUACGUGUUCACAUUAGUUUCUAGAACCGUGCUGGACAUGACAAUGUGAAAAGACAAUAUCUGAGCCAGCGCAGUAUGGUUCGGCUCGGCCAUAUAGUGUGAAUCAGACAUUAGAUUGAGGCAAACAAACAUGGAAGACAGUCAGUGGGGCAAGGAGCUAACAAGGGAUGGGUGGGGGAGACCAGAAUGGUAUGAAGAAAGAUAUGAUAACAGUGACGACAUAAAGCUCUAGAUGAUUCGGGAAGUGUGUUGACAUUGGGAGCCUAAUGGAGCUGUCAGGGAUUGGAACAGUCGUCUCAACAUCAUGUGUACUUCCCGGUCUCUAUUAUGUCAUAAUCUCUGUCUAAUCCUGCUUUAUGUCAUUCAAUAGUGGGGAAAUAGGAAAUCCAAGUGGAGAAAUACUAUAGGACAUGGGGGAAUAUGGGACAAACAUACAACAGAACAAACACACCCAAUCACAGACAUACACACAGAGAUAUUGUGUAGUGUAAUUCUAAGGUGGAGAUUCUAUCCCUCUGCCAAGCAAUAACGAGAGAACACACAAACACACAUAUAUACACUCAUGAGAACACACACAUACACACAGCGCGUACUCCAGGUUUAUUUCUAAUGGUGUUUACAUUUUCUGGUGCCUAGUACAGAGAAAAAAAGUUUCCGUGCAUUAAACAGUGAAUAGCCAUGAACUGUGUGACCAUUUUUGUCCAAUGACUCUUUUAUUGUAAAGUUGUAAUUUAUCUUUUGGUUCUUUUCUUUUCUUUUUUCCUUCUUUUACAAGAGGGUUCAUUUGGAAUAAAAGUUGUACUCCUGGA